CUUGCCCCUUGAGGCGUUGCAGUCCGACUUUGUGUCGAUCCUGUGUCAUGAGGUGGCAGAGAAUAAACGGUCUACAUCAUCAGAUUUGUUCGGUUCCCAUCACAGCGGGGAUUUGACAUGAUGUUUGUACCUACAAA